rnacentral:tRNA from 1 species
GCGGCAGUAGCUCAGCGGGAGAGCACCACCUUGACGCGGUGGGGGCCACAGGUUCGAUCCCUGUCUGCCGCA